GUGAGUGCCUGGGAGAGACACUCGGCUGUUUACAAGAAAUAUUCCAUUACAAUCUGACGCAAAAUGUUAGGAUGCCUCUGCGCCCAGGUUCCCUUCUCUGAGGGCAAACUGAUUAGCCUGUGGUUCCAACCGAUGUUUAUCCUCUCUGGCUCCGUGGAGAAUGCCAUUGGAAAAUCCCGGCUCAGUUGAUGCCUGGUCGCCUGGUACAUUCACAUUCAUCCAAUUAGGAUACCCAGUUUAAGACAUAAUGGGUUUCGGCAAGCUCCAUAGACUGAUCGGGUUUUGCACACAUGCACAGAAAGAUUUUAUUUCCUCUGUGGAAUUUAUGGCAGGGGAAAAGAGGCUCUGCUGCAGCAAGGGGGAACACUAGGGCAGAAAGAGGCUGAAACUGAGGACCAGGCUGGUAAGAAGAUUGACAGUGACAGUGAAAACGAUCAAGACUCUGUCUGCCAAGUUUGCAGGCUCGGUUUCUGAGCGCCUAUAGGCAGAAAGAAGAGUUGAGGAGCCCGGAAUGUUCACCAUGCCAGCGGACUGGCUUGCUGCGAGGCAGGUGGCCGCGGCAGAACCGGUUGGGAUGAGUUACGGCACCACCUCGGAUUCUGGGAUUCCCGCACUACUUUGCGGCUCUUCCUGCGCUCCAGAGCGCUCCUUUGAAACGAGCGCAAAAGGCACAAAUUUUGAGUAGCUAAACUCGUUUGCCCGAGACAGCAGCGCUUAGACAGACAAGCCGGGAGCGGAGAGCUUGCCUUGCUCCCCGUGGGUACGCUGCCAAAGUGGCGCUUGAUCGUUAGUGAAAAAAAAAAAAGACGGAGCGAUAUGGCUCAGUCCGGCGUUUGCAGGGGGAAGCAGACGAUUGCGAGUGAAGGCCCCAUGAGUCCAGCUCCGCCUGGACUACGCGGCUCCCCACCUCUGGCGGCCGCGGCUCCUGUUCCCCAGGACGUGCUCGCAGUUCCAACCUCUAAUCCUAGUCCUCAGCUGGCGCAGGCUGGCUGAAGGAUCGCGCAACUAGGCGGAAUGUGUUGACUCCAUCCUCCAGGGGAAUUCAGAUUGGACUGAAAGGAAAAAAUUUCCCAGACCUGGGCAGCAGCAGUCGCCGAUGAAACUGACCUUCAUGACACUGACCAGAGAUAAACCUCUUGGCAUGAGACAGCCUGGCACACCACUGAUCACUCGGUUGGGGACUAGGGACAAGCAGCCCACUACCACGAAAUUUACCAGCGUGUACUUAAAGAGAAAACCCGAGAUGCCUAAAACAGAUGGGUGCACAACAGAACACUGUUCACUGUUAACCGACCACCUGAAACCGUUCUCAGUGAGGCUACCCUGAAAUUAACUUGACUGGGUGAAAGGAACCAGAAUGAAAUCCACCUGCCUGUUAACACAGCCACUUACCCACAGCAAGAGAUUGGAGCAGAGGCUGAAGAGUGCGGCGGGGUGGAGCCGGGAGGGGGCUAGUCUCUGGGUGCUCCUGAGAACCUGACUGGUGCCGCUGCGGGGAUUGGGGGAGGGGGUUGUCCAGUGCUUUUUAAUUUACGACCGCCGCGCCCCAAGCCAUCCCAUAAAUUUGGGGGCCGUUUUCACCAAAGCUGUGAGUUACGAUUUUUCAAAUAAAUACAUUUUCCAAUCAGACGGGGUUCUGUUUAGGUUGAACGCGUCCUGAAGCAGACAUCUCUCUGCGCGGAACAUACACAGAGGAGGAAGCGGGGCCGGGGCGAAGCUCAGACGACAUAAAAACUUGUGUAAACACGUUGUCAUUUACGGACUUCGGAAGAGAAAGGGAAUGGGAGAGGAAAAUGUUUAAUUCUCCCUUGAAUCCUGGGGUUCCAGACCCGAGGGAAAACGUGGAAAUUUUAAUAUUCUUUUUCCAUAAGCUUGAUUUGUGUUAGGCAUUGGACAAUGGGCAGCAUCAGGUUUACCUUAAAUAGAUUCCGUAAUUUUGAGGCUGUUACAAACCUAAGAAUGGACAGAGUUUCAUUCCCCCACCCCCCACGCACAC
ensembl:lncRNA